AACGGGGGGGGCGAGCGUUGUUCGGAAUUACUGGGCGUAAAGCGAGUGUAGGCGGUGUGGUAAGUCGGAUGUGAAAGCCCCGGGCUCAACCCGGGAAGUGCACUCGAUACUGCCACGCUAGAGUAUCGGAGAGGUUGGUGGAAUUCUCGGUGUAGAGGUGAAAUUCGUAGAUAUCGAGAGGAACACCGGUGGCGAAGGCGGCCAACUGGACGAAUACUGACGCUGAGACUCGAAAGCGUGGGGAGCAAACAGG
rnacentral:rRNA from 1 species